rnacentral:lncRNA from 1 species
CUAAUAUUCCGACCGGAAUCUGCAUUUAGGUAAACAGACGAAAAAAAAUAAAGCAUUCGGUCGACUCGGGCACGCGCCUAAGCCCACAGUACUCUGAGCGGCCACUUGCCAAAUGCGAUAAAGUGUUUCAGCCAGAGCCUGCCUCGAUAUCGUUCAGCUUUUUCCCGGGCUCUGAGAGCCUAUGGGAGCCGAAGGAAGUGUCACGUUAGAGCAAAGAUCAUAAAUCUUCAAUAAAAACAGCCUAGAUGAAACACAUCUUGUCAGACAGGCCACUUCCUGCAUGGAAUCUUCUCAGGUUUUGGCCUGCCAUUUGAGUUCUGUUAUACUCACAGACACCAUUCAAACAGUUUUAGAAACUUUCAGGUGUUUUCUAUCCAAAGCCAAUAAUUAUAUGCAUAUUCUAGUUACUGGGCAGGAGUAGUAACCAGAUUACGUUACGUUUUUUAUCCGGCUGUCGUCGAAACCGCUCCGACGAGCUCCGUUCAUCUUUCCCUUGACGCUGACUAGUCUCCCAGUCCCUGCCGCUGAAAAACAUCCCCACAGCAUGAUGCUGCCACCAGCAUGCUUCACCCUAGGGAUGGUGCCAGGUUUCGUUCAGACGUGACUCUUUGCAUUCAGGCCAAAGAUAUAAAUCUUGGUUUUAUCAGACCAGAUAAUCUUGUUUCUCAUGGUCUGAAAGUCUUUAGGUAGCUUUUGGCAAACUCCAAGCUGGCUGUCACAUUCCUUUUACUGAGGAGUGGCUUCCGUCUGACCACUCAAUCAGAAAGGUCUGAUUGGUGGAGGGCUGCAGAGAUGUUUGUCCUUCUGGAAGGUUCUCCGAUCUCCACAGAGGAACUCUAGAGCUCUGUCAGAGUGACCAUCGGGUUCUUGGUCACCUCCCCCCACCAAGGCCCUUCUCCCCCGAUUGCUCAAUUAGACCGGGCAGACAGAUGUAGGAAGAGUCUUUGGGGUUCAAAAGUUCUUCCAUUUAAGAAUGAUGAAGGCCACUCUGUUCUUGGGGACAUUCAAUGCUGCAGAAAUUAUUUAGUACCCUUCCCCAGAUCUGUUCCUCGACACAAUCCUGUCUCGGAACUCUAUGGAGAAUUCCUUCGACCUCAUGGCUUGGUUUUUGCUCUGACAUGCACUGUCAACUGUGGGAUCUUAUAAAUACAGUUGUGUACCUUUCCAAAUCAAGUCCAAUACAUCUCAAGGAUGAUCAAUGGAACCAGGAUGCAGCUGUGCUCAGUUUCAAAUUUCAAAUCAUAAGGUCUGAAUACUUAUUUAAAUAAGGUAUUUCUGUUUUAAAUCUUUAGUACAUCUGAAAACAUUUCUUAAUUGAUUCAUUGUUGGUUAAAACCUGUUUUUUCGCUUUGUCAUUAUUGAGUAUUGUGUGUAGAUUGAUGAAGAAAAUGAUUAAAAAAUUUAACCCAUUUUAGAAUUUGGCUGUAACAUAACAAAAUGUGGAAAAAGGAAAGGGUUCUGAAUACUUUCCGAAUGCACUGUUACAGCAGGUUUUUGAAGGAACAAAGAAUUUGGUCUGCUUCGUGUUUUCAUUUUUGCCAUGAAAAAAAGAUUGCGAUACUGGUAUCGUCUGGACACUAACUCUGAUUCAUUCAUAUUUAUUGAGAAAAUUAGUAGAUCAUAUUGAUUAAUCAAAUCUUUGCUUGUUAUCGUCAGUGUUGUGAAACCUAUUGUCAUUUGAUAGGAUGCAGCCUGACGAAGUAUGUGGAGAGGCUGUGUCACGACUCCUGCCG